UGACUGAUAAAUUGCGUUUGGAGUACAAUGAAGAUGCAGCUCUUGUUGAAAAGAAAGUGUGCUAUUCUAAAUAUAAUAUAUGUACAACAUGAGAAUUAAAGAUAUGUAGUAACUUUAAUCAUUGGUUAUUUUAAACUUUUAUGUUUUACACUGCCAAAUCACGACGUCGCCGGAAAGCCAAGAUUCCACAUCUUGGGGAAUGUGUUCUUUACCCACAGUCCUCCAGAGCAUCAAAAUGUUCCUGAAUAAUUCUGUUCCUACUGAUCUUCUACAAGUUUACCAUCUUACUAAACUUGUGACUCCAGAUAUUCUAUUAGCAGUUGGAAUUGGAUUAGUCGUGUUCCUGUUCACAUGGAUGGUUGUCUACUUAGAUAGCAGCCAGCCUGGAGUUGAGCCUCCUUCACCACUUUCUCCAAGAAAAAUCAGGAUGUCUUCCGGACACUCGUAUCAUAUUGGAUAUAUUAUGGCUGUCGUAAAUGGACUUUUGUUUUUGGCUCUUGCACUUGCCUGGUGAGAAACGUGGCACUGUAGGUGCCAAUCAAGAUGUGACCUCCACCUUAUUAGAGGUGAAAGCUUGGGGUAUUGACUUACUCUGGUUGUAUUAUUUACAAAGCAUAAA